rnacentral:rRNA from 1 species
AUUCCAGCUCCAAUAGCGUAUAUUAAAGUUGCUGCAGUUAAAAAGCUCGUAGCUGAACCUUGGCCUUGGUUGACCGGUCCGCCUAACGGUGUGCACUGGCUUGACCGAGGCUUUCCUUCUGGCUAGCCUGUAUGGUAUUAAUUUAUUGUGCAGGGGAACCAGGACUUUUACUUUGAAAAAAUUAGAGUGUUCAAAGCAGGCUUAUGCUCGAAUACAUUAGCAUGGAAUAAUAGAAUAGGACGUGUGGUUCUAUUUUGUUGGUUUCUAGGACCACCAUAGUGAUUAAUAGGGACAGUUGGGGACAUUAGUAUUGAGUUGUCAGAGGUGAAAUUCUUGGAUUUACUCAAGACUAACUACUGCGAAAGCAUCUGCCAUGGAUGUUUUCAUCA